rnacentral:rRNA from 1 species
GACGAACGCUGGCGGCGUGCCUAAUACAUGCAAGUCGAACGAAGCUGUUUUAACUGGUGCUUGCACCGACUUAAACAACUGAGUGGCGAACGGGUGAGUAACACGUGGGUAACCUGCCCCAAAGCGGGGGAUAACAUUUGGAAACAGAUGCUAAUACCGCAUAACCACAGAAACCACAUGGUUUCUGUGUCAAAGAUGGUUUCGGCUAUCACUUUGGGAUGGAGCCGCGGCGUAUUAGCUAGUUGGUAAGGUAAUGGCUUCCCAAGGCAAUGAUACGUAGCCGAACUGAGAGGUUGAUCGGCCACAUUGGGACUGAGACACGGCCCAAACUCCUACGGGAGGCAGCAGUAGGGAAUCUUCCACAAUGGACGAAAGUCUGAUGGAGCAACGCCGCGUGAGUGAAGAAGGUUUUCGGAUCGUAAAACUCUGUUGUCAGAGAAGAACGUGUGCGAGAGUAACUGCUCGUGCAGUGACGGUAUCUGGCCAGAAAGCCACGGCUAACUACGUGCCAGCAGCCGCAGUAA